CGAGGCAGCCGUCAAUCCCGCCAGCGCCCGCCCUCAGGCUGGGGUUGGGGAGAGUCCUGGGCGCCUGGCCCCUCAGGGAUCGAACUCGGGUCCUUGCACCUGCACAGCAGGCAGUGAAACCACUGAGCUAAAUCCCCAGCCCAGUUUCCUGAAUUUCUUUCGUUCAUUCACUCCACACAUGCUUAUCAGGUAACUGCUUUGAGCCCAGCACUGUGAUGGAAGUAAAGAUACAAGACCAAACAAGAACUGAGCACAUAACAUAUGCACCUGUAAUCUCAGCACUUGGGGGACUGAGACAGGUGAAUCUCCUAAGCCCAGAAGUUGGAGACCAACCUGGGAAACAAAUAAAUACAGACCUUGUCUUAAAAAAAAAAAACAAGACAAAUGUGGUCCUGUCUCUCUAGUAAUAGAUAGUAGAUGCCUAAUAACUAUUCAGUGGAUGACUAUCUGGGGGAAGCUGCUUGGUCUUAGUUGGGAGCUGUUUUGCUUGCUUUGAUGAGAAGCUGGAGAAAUUAUUUUGUAUGUGUUUUCAAUUAAAAAAAAUUUAAGAAAAACAGCUUUUAAAAAAAUAAAAACUGACUGGGUGUAGUCAUAUGUGCCUAUAGUCCCAGCUACUCAGGACAGGAGGAUCACUUGGGUCCAUGAGUUUGUGACCAGCCUGGUCAAUAUAGGGAGAGUCAGAAAGAGCAAGAAACAAAGAAAAAGAAGGGAAGAUUCUCCUAGGAGACCACACUGCCACCUUCCUCCUGGAAGCCAGGCUUUGUUGUCCUUUUCCCAUCCUUCCUUUGGAUUUCUCUGGGUUCAGGGACAAAGGAACCGAGACUGUGGCCAGAAUUCUUUUCAUUUGCCAUAAAAGUAGAUGUGAACUGAGACUCAAAGAGUUUGUUCCAGUCAGUGGUAAGGAAGACUGAAGUCCCUGGUUCUAUUGUUGGGUGCCUUUCUAUGGAGCUGCUCAAGGAAGAGGGCGGCCCCCUUGUUGGCAGUAGGCUGAGGCUGGUCUGUGACCCACACUCCAGGGAGCUGCUUCAGAGGGUCCCCCAAAGGGCCAUAGCUCCGUUGCUGUUGAAGACAUCCAGCUCGGGGAGCAUUUUCCACCCUCCAGGGAAGGAGGAGUCUUCUCAAUCCCUGUAAACUCCAAACAAACCCACCGCACACCUGCCUUGUGCCAGCAGCAAGUGGAAAGUCUACAAAAGAGCCCUAGUUCUCCCAACACUCAAGCUCCAGCUGCGCCCAGGCCAGGGCCUUCUUCUCCUAGAAUUCAGCCAUCCAACCAGCAGUCCCCAAGAGUAAAAUGAACUGGACUGAUGUGGGAGGUGAUGGAAAGAAGGCAGAAGCCCACCCAGCUGCGCACAAGCCAUGCCAACGCUCGCUGGUUCCUUCUCUCUGCCCUACUGUGUGUACUUGACCUGGCCAGGCCCUGUGGAGAGACACGUGGAGGGAGGAUCUGGAAGUUCUGGAAACUAAAAGCACCCCAAGCCUCAUA